CUGUAAUUUCAUAUUCCUCCACUUUUGGUCCAUCAUUUUACGUGCCAUGUAUGCAGAUUCUGCUGACGUGGUGAAAUGAGGGACCGAAAGUGGAAGAAUAUGAAAUUACAA
rfam:Medicago truncatula strain A17 chromosome 2, whole genome shotgun sequence.